rfam:Ictidomys tridecemlineatus contig008710, whole genome shotgun sequence.
GCGGUUGUGGCUCAGUGGUAGAGUGCUUGCCUGGCACAUGCAAGAUCCUGGGUUCAAUCCUCAGCACCACA